rnacentral:lncRNA from 1 species
CAAGGACAGUCGGACUACAGCCACAGCCCAGACAAUCGAACACAGCCACAGCCCGGACAAUCGAACACAGCCACAGCCCGGACAAUCGAACCACAGCUAGAAGAGUCGGACAGCAGCCAUGGUCCACACAAUCGAACACAGCCACAGCCCGGGCAAUCGAACACGCCACAGUUGGAACAAUAGAACACAGCCACAGACCAGACAAUCGAACACUGCCACAGCUGGAACAAUCAAACGCAGUCACUGCGCAGAUAAUCGAACACAACCACAGCUGGAACAAUUGAACCGCCGUCACAGCCAGGAAAAUCAGCAUGGACAGAUAGAUUUGGAGCCUACUCCAGAAGGAGAUCGCUCUGCAGGAAAGCGGGCACAGAUUGGUACCUCUUUGGCGACGGUGUGCCAGUGAAGAUGGGUCUCACAAACAUCCAUCCGCUCCUGGUGUAGGAACUUGCACUUGUCGGGCACGAGAAGGGCGUCGCUCACAAACUCACCAACUGAAAGAGAGGAGAGUGGACCUGUAUCAUUCGCGUAUGACAGCUGAUUUCACCAUGGACACACACGGGCUCGACGGAGGUCAGAGAACUUACCCAGAACUUUCAAUGCACGAAAAACCCCACAAAGGCUACACUACCUUUAGCAUGGUGGGUCAGCCUCUUUAAACAACCGACUGCCUUGCUACCAUGAAGACCUUAUGUCCAUACAUUCCCUAUGCAUGCAUCCUUGAUGGCUGUAUGUUCCCUAUAUAUUCCCAGUGCCUUCUCCUUGAAUUAAUUUCAGUUUCUGCAUCCAUAUAGCAGCUGCACAAGUAGCCACUGACAUUCGUUGUCAUUAAGGAUUACAGUACAAAAACAGAUAGCUUUAAUUUGAGCACUGUCAACACCAAUGUCUGUUUCUGUAUUUUGUAAAUUUAAACUGCUUGCAAAUUGUUAGAGACUGCAGCAUUUUUAAAUGUUAAGCUCCAAUCUGUACAUACACAAUGUGUAUUAUAUAUGUGUUUA